rnacentral:sRNA from 1 species
GCUGGCACGGUGGCGCAUGCCUGUAAUCCCAAUGACUUGGGAGGCUGAGGCAGGAGGACUGAGAGUUCAAAGCCAGCCUCAG